rnacentral:rRNA from 1 species
GCGGAGGAAAAGAAACUAACAAGGAUUCCCCUAGUAACUGCGAGUGAACCGGGAAAAGCUCAAAUUUUGAAUCUGGCAGUCUUUAUGGUUGUCCGAGUUGUAAUCUAGAGAAGUGUUUUCCGCGCUGGACCGUGUAUAAGUUUCCUGGAAAGGAACGUCAUAGAGGGUGAAAAUCCCGUCUUUGACACGGACUGCCAGGGCUAUGUGAUGCGCUCUCGACGAGUCGAGUUGUUUGGGAAUGCAGCUCAAAUAGGGUGGUAAAUUCCAUCUAAAGCUAAAUAUAGGCGAGAGACCGAUAGCGAACAAGUACCGUGAGGGAAAGAUGAAAAGAACUUUGGAAAGAGAGUUAAACAGUAUGUGAAAUUGCUGAAAGGGAAACGUUUGAGGUCAGUCGCGUCCGCCGGGGAUCAGCUUUGCUUUAUUGCGAGGCGUACUUCCUGGUGUUGAUGGGUCAGCAUCAGUUUUGGCCGUUGGAAAAGGGCGAGGGGAAUGUGGCACUCUUUCGGGGGUGUGUUAUAGACUCUUGCUUUGAAUACGAUGGCUGGGAUUGAGGAACUGCAGUGUGAGCCAUUUCUGGUUUCGGGGCUUCGGCUCACGUUUAUCAUGCUUAGGAUGCUGGCAUAAUGGCCUUAAGCGACCCCGU